CCUACGGGUGGCUGCAGUCGAGGAUCUUUGGCAAUGGGCGAAAGCCUGACCAUGCGACGCCGCGUGCGGGAUGAAGGCCUUCGGGUCGUAAACCGCUGUUACGAGGAACGAAAAUCCUGCCUGCGAACAGUGGGCAGGAAUUGACGGUACCUCGAAAGAAAGCCACGGCUAACUCCGUGCCAGCAGCCGCGGUAAUACGGAGGUGGCAAGCGUUGCUCGGAUUUACUGGGUGUAAAGGGCACGUAGGCGGCUCGAUAAGCCCCACUUAAAAUGCUUCGGCUCAACCAAAGCGUGUGGUGGGGGACUGCCGAGCUUGAGGAUUGGAGAGGCGAGCGGAAUUCCCGGUGUAAGGGUGAAAUCUGUAGAGAUCGGGAGGAACACCAGUGGCGAAAGCGGCUCGCUGGCCAAUUUCUGACGCUGAGGUGCGAAAGCUAGGGGAG
rnacentral:rRNA from 1 species